GAUGAACGCUGGCGGCGUGCCUAAUACAUGCAAGUCGAGCGAACAGACGAGGAGCUUGCUCCUCUGACGUUAGCGGCGGACGGGUGAGUAACACGUGGAUAACCUACCUAUAAGACUGGGAUAACUUCGGGAAACCGGAGCCAAUACCGGAUAAUAUAUUGAACCGCAUGGUUCAAUAGUGAAAGACGGUUUUGCUGUCACUUAUAGAUGGAUCCGCGCCGCAUUAGCUAGUUGGUAAGGUAACGGCUUACCAAGGCAACGAUGCGUAGCCGACCUGAGAGGGUGAUCAGCCACACUGGAACUGAGACACGGUCCAGACUCCUACGGGAGGCAGCAGUGGGGAAUCUUGCGCAAUGGGCGAAAGCUUGACGGAGCAACGCCGCGUGGGUGAUGAAGGUCUUCGGAUCGUAAAACUCUGUUAUUAGGGAAGAACAGAUGUGUGAGUAGCUAUGGACGUCUUGACGGUACCUAAUGAGAAAGCCACGGCUAACUACGUG
rnacentral:rRNA from 1 species